rnacentral:rRNA from 1 species
UUCGCAAUGCCCGAAAGGGUGACGAAGCGACGCCGCGUGUGGGAAGAAGGCCUUCGGGUUGUAAACCACUGUCGGGAGUUAAGAAAUGCAAGGAUAUUAAUAGUGUCUUUGUUUGACUAAGGCUCCGGAGGAAGCCACGGCUAACUCUGUGCCAGCAGCCGCGGUAAUACAGAGGCGGCAAGCGUUGUUCGGAAUUAUUGGGCGUAAAGAGCACGUGGGCGGCUAUGUAAGUCGGUUGUGAAAGCCUUCCGCUCAACGGAAGAACAGCAUCCGAUACUACAUGGCUUGAGUGCGGGAGGGGAGAGUGGAACUUCUGGUGGAGCGGUGAAAUGCGUAGAUAUCAGAAGGAACGCCGGCGGCGAAAGCGGCUCUCUGGCCCAUAACUGACGCUGAGUGUGCGAAAGCUAGGGGAGCAAACGGGAUUAGAUACCCCGGUAGUCCUAGCCGUAAACGAUGGGCACUAAGUAGAGGGGUUUU